AGCAAUAUUUUGGAGGAUCUAAGGUCUUAGCUUGUGUAUGGUCCAGAUUUCACUGAGCACCCAAGUAUAAAUAAGUCUUAUAACUUUCUAACGGAAACUUAAUGACUUCAACUUAAGUUGCAUACUGACCUAGGAUUUGGGCUGACUUAGUAAUUGAAACUUUGUGUGCUUUUAAAAUUUUUGGCACUUAUGCAUUUGAAAUUAAAAUUUACGUAACGAUAAAUUCUUUAGGUAGCGACUGUAGUUUGUGGGUAUCUGAGCCGGAAACCCUCACGAGACAAAACUCGUCCACUAGGGCCACCUAGGGUUAAAGCCUUAUUGCAUACGGUAAAUGCAAUCGCGAUUCCUGCGAAAGUGAGUUAGUUUUUUUUUAUUUUAUUUUGCUCGAGGACUAGCAAAAUAUAGGUUGGGGGGUGUGAUAAGUGCUAAAUAAUGCAUAAAGUAACCUCUUUCUCAUAGCACUUAUCAUUAUUUUUAAACAUAAGAAAAUUCAUUCCCCAUCAUCAUUGCAUUUUAAUAAAUUAUAAGAGGUAAUUCGAGUUGAUUUGAUUAUUUAAUGAUUAAGCCUAAUGAAUGCAGGUCAAGUCAAACUUAUUUGGGAUGAUCCUUGAACCCAAAUCGCAUGCAGCCCCGCAAGUCAAGACCCUCUCAGAUUCAUCCCAAUUCCCUUGUUUCUUUCCCAUAUUUGGCUCAACAAAACUUCCCUGCGUCACAUCUUAGUCACCUAAUUUUCUUCCUACACAUGCUCCCAGCCAAAUAGGAUUAAUUCCAUCUUUCCAGCCAAACCAAAUUAGAAUCUUCAAACAAGCCACAUCAUCAUGCAAAUCCCCCUUCAUUCCAUCUCAACUUCGUGUCCUUCCCAGCUCCCGUGUCCAUAACCUUUGGAACAAAGCCGUGUGCCCCUUCCUGGUUCGAAGCCUUCAUUCGGACCCAAAACAGAACAAGGAACAGAGCCGCGGAUCUUCUUCUUCCAACUCCAUCCGCAAAUCCCUCCUUAGCUUCAUCUUCCCGAAUCUCCCAACGUCCAGCUUCAUCUUCUCGAAUCUCCCAACGUCCCAGCAACCACCCUUUUCUUCUGGACUCCCAGCUUCAACCGUGAAAAUCUUCAUCCCAUCCGCAUCCAGCACUCCAUCCUAUCCUCCUCAUCCUCCCGAAUCAUCUGCGAUCAAUCUUCAUCCAUCAGCCAUUCACAUAUCAUCUCUCAACGACCACGGUCUUCCCCUGUUUCGGAACAACUUCCUCCCAGCAUCCCGUCCGAGUCUCCUGUAGAUAGCACAGAUCUCUUCCCGAUCAUGAACGAGUCCCAGCCAUCUUCCGAACUGAUCCCAGCCAAAUUUCUUAGCCUCCCGCAUCCGAGGAUCCCGUGGCCAGCAUCUGGAUCAGCUGCCAGCUCCUCUGUUCCCAGCGGAACAAAUCUUAUCCCGUUUACAAAUCCACACCAUUCCCUGUUACUAGCCGAAUCCAGCCAUUCCCGAGCUUCAUCUCUUCCGAAUUCCUCUGCAUCCGUCCUAGCUCCCCUGUUCCAACAUCAUCCUUAUCCCGAGUCCCAACUUCCUCCCAUCUUCUCCGUGAUCCUCUUCCUCCGAGAUCUUCUCAAAUGCCCACAGUACCUUCACUCCCUGAUGUUCAUCUAACACCCGAGUUGCCGAAUCCCGUGGAUCAUCACCUGUUCCCAGCUGAAGGAAUCCUCCGAUUCGAAGCAUCCGUGAUCAUCUCCCAGCAUCUCGUGCUUGCCCCUGCCGUCCACAGAUUCAGCCAUCCAGCCAAGAUUUUCUCCGCAUCACCAGCAUCCCAGCUCGUUCCAGCAGCCACGGAUAGACUUAGA
rnacentral:lncRNA from 1 species